UCUGCCCAAGGGGCAGAUUCCCCUUCAGCACAGACUGUACCCAAGACAUGGCCGUUCCUUCAAGGCAAGGAGAGCAUACCUAUCUCUCAGACAGACUGGUCCUCAAAGAAAACAGAAACUAGAGCAUCAGAUUGGAGAGAGAUACAGAAAGCUGCCGCCUCGCAUUUGGAUAUUAGGGAGACACAGAAGACGGGCUUCUUGAAUCCUUGAGAUGCAGAGGCCUCUUAAAACCCAAGGCAGGAAAGUGUUCUUGCCAAAUCCCUUCUGAGUUCACUCCCUCAUUUCAUUUACCUCACCUCACCUGCCCAGCCACCCCACAAAAGAGCACCUGCCAGCACCUCUGCUUUCAUUUUCUGCUAUAGGGUCCUCCUGGCACUUACCACCACCUACCAUGUUCUAGAUCCACCCAUUGGCCAAUUCUCUGUCUCCUCCCACGAGCAGGUAAGCUCUGCGAGGCAGGGAUCUCUGUCUGUCCUCUUCUCUGCUACAGCCUCGUAUUCUGAAACAGCGCUUGGCACACAGAGUAAGUGCUUCAUAAACAUUAGCAGAAUGAAUGAGUGGCUUGAGUAUGACAAGAACUAUAUUGAAUAGGAAGAAGAAAAUCCAUGGAACUUGAGGGAAGAAGAAUGCCGUCUGGGUGAUCGCUUCUUCUCUAUCCCAGGCACACAUUUAUGUGUCUCUUGAAUCUUUGGUGAGAAGGAGCGAGGGUCCAAAAUCAUUGUCAGCUGGGUUCUUGGCACAUAAGUUUGUAUCUAGUUCUCGUGCCAGUGUAGACUGGGGCACCAAUAACGUAUCAUGCCAAAGCCUUCACUAAGUCUAAAGAAAAGAUCUCCCUCUAGAUGCUGUAACAAAACCAAGCCAUGUCUGGGUAGACCCCAAAUGACUCCUGGGGUCCAGACCCAGGUGCCCAGAGUGGGGCACCACCAGGACCUCCUCUGCACCCCAAGAAGAAAACACCCCCUCCUUGACUGCAGCGUCCUGGACACGGGUGUCUCACAUGCGUCUCCUGAUUCUGCCCCCUAGUGGCAGAGAUGCAGCAGAGCCGCCCACGUGCCAUUCUUUUCUCCAGCAAGAAGGUGUUGAGCAUCUGCCACUUGCUGGUCUUGAGUCCCCAAAGAUUUGUUGACUGCAACGUGCCAGGCGCGGAGAAGGAGCUGAGCCAAAGAACAAAGGCAACAAUAACACAGUUCCUCUCCUCGUGGCCCCCACAGUGCAGCCGCGGAGGUGGCAAUUAAACAAACCCUUCUCGUUUGCUUUCCAGUGUAGCUGCAGUGGAGACAAGAGCCAUGGAGGAGACAGACAGAGAGCAUGAGGGUGUUUAAAUUCAGGAAAGUCUCCCCCAAGGAUGUGAUGUCCAACCUGAUACCUAAAGAAGAGGUGAGAGCCAUCCAGGCCAAAAGGGGAGAAGGAGAUUAUGAAGUCUGAAGGUCUGGGGCAGGAGGGCAGGGACAGGUAUCUCACUCCUGGCUGCAGGUGCACGAGCCCACCUUUACCCACAAUGCUCAGCAACCAGGAAGUGCAGGUGUCAGAAGUUUCUGCCUUCCUGAGAUUUGACCAAGAAACAUAUAAUCUUCCAACCCCGGAGAUUGAAAACUUUUGUUAAAAUAUCUUUACCCUAUAACUGCGCUAACAGCUUCUUGCAGCACUGAAGGGUGACUGGGGACAUUUUAGGGCCGAGGACUCCUCAUUCUCAACCUGUAGAUAAACAGGACUGUCACCACUGGAAGAGUUGAGCACUGUCUCCACGCCAGCAUUUCAGGGCCGCUAAGGACACCGCCUAACACCCAUAAGCCUUGGAGUUCAGAAGACACACGUUCCAGUCCCAGCUCUGCCCCACGCUGGCUGGGGAACCUUAGGCAAGCCAUCAAACCACCCUAGGCCACAGUUGCCUCUACUUCUUAGAAUCCUUGAACUGUCAAAAGAUGAUCAGGAUCCUCCAACCGAGCCCCAGCUGACACCGCUGAUCCUCCCACCAGCCUCCGCCUUCCCGCCAGCCUCCGAGCGUCUCCACGGCCCCUCCCGAAACCACGGCAGAUGCAUUCUUCAGAUGCACGGCCUCCCCACCCACCCGGCCCUUAUCUCAGUCUGCUUCCCAGCUUAAAAUAAGUUUCCAAAAACCCUCUUUUGAAAGCAGCCUCCUUCGCUGCAAUAAUACCCAGGCUGGGUUUCCAACUAUUGUCUCACCAAACCAGGGACCGCAUUUGACUACAUCACCUCCCAGCCUGCAUCAGCGGGCCUUUGAUGGCAAAUAUCUUAUCUAUGAUCGGUUUGCUGGGUUAUGGACCCAAAUUUCCUCUGCUGAAACAUCAGACCGGGAGAGGCUUCGCUGACGCCGACCCGCAGCAAUGCCGCGGUGCUUCAAUAAGCCUCCGAGACCGUUUCCUAGAACUCUUCAAAGCCCGAGAGAGCCUGGGUUCCAAUCCACCAGCUUGGGGCAAAACUAAAUUUAAAUUUUAUUGCAAAACACUGUAAGGUGACUAUUAGUGUUAAGCAAGCUAAUAGAGAUAAUUUCGACAAACAGCCACUGUAAGCCUACUAUGCUCCAGCUGUGUGCAAUGGCCAGAGACUCUGUCUGUAUGUGUCUUUACACACAGUGGGACUACUAGGAGAAAAAAAAUGAAAAAUAAAUUAUGUGCCAUUGGAUGUGAUAAGUGCAAUAUACUGUGAGUGCGUGAAAGGGACUCAGCUGACCAGCUGACAGGGUGAUGCCUGAGCUGUGUUUUUUGUUAAACACUUGAGUAGGGUCUUUUCUUAAUUAAAAAUUAUGUUUAAAAACCCCCACUGCUGUGUCUCUGUCCCCUCAUCUGUGAAAGAUGGCUAAUAGUACUUGUCGCAUAGAAUUGUCGUGAAGUUUAAUGUUUCCCAAUGUUAAUAAGCAUAGAACAGUGCCUGGAAUAUACCAAGCAGACACCACCCUAAGUGCUUUAUUAUACACUUGUGAUUUUUACCCUCAAGACAGCCUCAUGAAGAAGGAACUAUUAUCUUCAUUUUACAAGGGAGGAAGCUGAGGCUUCAGGAGUGGAAGAUUGUUCACAGCACAAAUGCAGAAGGGACAAGUGGAUGGCACAGACAGGCCUUUGAAAUGAGGUGAAGAAAGAGAAUCUGCUGGCUGGACUAUCCCUGGAAGGCUUCCUGGAAGAGGUGGCAUGGCAUCCGGGCUUUAAAGAACAAGGAAAGUGUGGAACAGCCUUUUCAGAAUAGUUACAGUGGGGAUGAAGGCAGAGAGUUGAGAAGAUGGAUGAAUGCUACGGAAUGCGAAGACCAGUGUCGCAGGGGCCUGAUCUGUCCUGGGCCUCGAAUGCUUUGCCAAGGUGUCUGGAGAUGCUUCCCUGGCAGCGGCGAGUCCAUCGAGGC